rnacentral:rRNA from 1 species
GAACGAACGCUGGCGGCAUGCCUAACACAUGCAAGUCGAACGAGACCUUCGGGUCUAGUGGCGCACGGGUGCGUAACGCGUGGGAACCUGCCCUUAGGUUCGGAAUAACUCCCCGAAAGGGGUGCUAAUACCGGAUAAUGUCUUCGGACCAAAGAUUUAUCGCCUUUGGAUGGGCCCGCGUUGGAUUAGCUAGUUGGUAGGGUAAAAGCCUACCAAGGCGACGAUCCAUAGCUGGUCUGAGAGGAUGAUCAGCCACACUGGGACUGAGACACGGCCCAGACUCCUACGGGAGGCAGCAGUGGGGAAUAUUGGACAAUGGGCGAAAGCCUGAUCCAGCAAUGCCGCGUGAGUGAUGAAGGCCUUAGGGUUGUAAAGCUCUUUUACCCGGGAUGAUAAUGACAGUACCGGGAUAAUAAGCUCCGGCUAACUCCGUG